AAUAGAUACCCUGGUAGUCCACGCCGUAAACGAUGAGUGCUAAGUGUUAGGGGGUUUCCGCCCCUUAGUGCUGCGAGCUAACGCAUUAAGCACUCCGCCUGGGGAGUACGGUCGCAAGACUGAAACUCAAAGGAAUUGACGGGGGCCCGCACAAGCGGUGGAGCAUGUGGUUUAAUUCGAAGCAACGCGAAGAACCUUACCAGGUCUUGACAUCCCGCUGACCGCUAUGGAGACAUAGCUUUCCCUUCGGGGACAGCGGUGACAGGUGGUGCAUGGUCGUCGUCAGCUCGUGUCGUGAGAUGUUGGGUUAAGUCCCGCAACGAGCGCAACCCUUGUUCUUAGUUGCCAUCAUUAAGUUGGGCACUCUAAGGAGACUGCCGGUGAUAAACCGGAGGAAGGUGGGGAUGACGUCAAAUCAUCAUGCCCCUUAUGACCUGGGCUACACACGUGCUACAAUGGACGGUACAAACGGUUGCGAAGUCGCGAGACGGAGCCAAUCCGAGAAAACCGUUCUCAGUUCGGAUUGUAGG
rnacentral:rRNA from 1 species